rnacentral:rRNA from 1 species
AUGCGCGGCUCGGCUCCACACAGAACAGAGCAGUCCCCGACUCCAGAUCCUGCGCCGCCGGGAUUCAGCCCCACCGCCGCCACCGUCGUCGGGAAUCGCCUCGUCGCCGCCGGGAUUCGCUUUAGCGCCGCCACUGGGAAUCGCCUCGCCGCCGCCGGGAGUUGCCUCCGCGCCGCCACCGGGAAUCGCAUCGCCGCCGCUGGGAGUUGCCUCCACGCCGCUGCUGGGAGUCACCCAAACUUGCGUCGGCAAGAGGUAGCAUUAUCUGUUUGCUACAAUCUGAAGAAGUGGAGGGCUAGGAAACCAAAGCUUCUUAACUGUUUGUACAAGACUAGAGUCAACUGGAUUGCUGCUGGCAGAGUGUUAUAG